rnacentral:ncRNA from 2 species
AGACCCGAGAGGCGCUGCGACGGACCACAUGUCCGCCACGCUCGGGUCUGCGUUCACCACUCAAGGGCGCCUCCCACA